rnacentral:tRNA from 1 species
GCCCCCGUAGCUCAGCGGAUAGAGCAGGAGCCUUCUAAUCUCUUGGUCACAGGUUCGAUUCCUGUCGGGGGCG